rnacentral:rRNA from 1 species
GUUGAUAAGGUUAAGUGAAUAAGGGCGCACGGUGGAUGCCUUGGCACUAGGAGCCGAUGAAGGACGGGACUAACACCGAUAUGCUUUGGGGAGCUGUAAGUAAGCUAUGAUCCAGAGAUUUCCGAAUGGGGGAACCCAAUAUCUUUUAUAGGAUAUUACUUUUCAGUGAAUACAUAGCUGAUUAGAGGUAGACGCAGAGAACUGAAACAUCUUAGUACCUGCAGGAAGAGAAAGAAAAUUCGAUUCCCUGAGUAGCGGCGAGCGAAACGGGAAGAGCCCAAACCAACAAGCUUGCUUGUUGGGGUUGUAGGACUCCAAUAUGGUAGUCUGUUAGUAUAGUUGAAGGAUUUGGAAAAUUCCGCUAAAGAGGGUGAAAGCCCCGUAGACGAAAUGCUAAUAACACCUAGGAGGAUCCUGAGUACGGCGGAACACGAGAAAUUCCGUCGGAAUCCGCGGGGACCAUCCCGCAAGGCUAAAUACUCCCUAGUGACCGAUAGUGAACCAGUACCGUGAGGGAAAGGUGAAAAGCACCCCGGAAGGGGAGUGAAAUAGAUCCUGAAACCGUGUGCCUACAACAAGUCAAAGCUCGUUAAUGAGUGAUGGCGUGCCUUUUGUAGAAUGAACCGGCGAGUUACGAUUGCAUGCGAGGUUAAGUCGAAGAGACGGAGCCGCAGCGAAAGCGAGUCUGAAUAGGGCGAAUGAGUAUGUAGUCGUAGACCCGAAACCAUGUGAUCUACCCAUGUCCAGGUUGAAGGUGCGGUAAAACGCACUGGAGGACCGAACCCACGUACGUUGAAAAGUGCGGGGAUGAGGUGUGGGUAGCGGAGAAAUUCCAAACGAACUUGGAGAUAGCUGGUUCUCUCCGAAAUAGCUUUAGGGCUAGCCUCGGAAUUGAGAAUGAUGGAGGUAGAGCACUGUUUGGACUAGGGGCCCAUCUCGGGUUACCGAAUUCAGAUAAACUCCGAAUGCCAUUCAUUUAUAUCCGGGAGUCAGACUGCGAGUGAUAAGAUCCGUAGUCGAAAGGGAAACAGCCCAGACCACCAGCUAAGGUCCCAAAAUAUAUGUUAAGUGGAAAAGGAUGUGGGGUUGCACAGACAACUAGGAUGUUGGCUUAGAAGCAGCCACCAUUUAAAGAGUGCGUAAUAGCUCACUAGUCGAGUGACCCUGCGCCGAAAAUGUACCGGGGCUAAACAUAUUACCGAAGCUGUGGACUACACCAUUAGGUGUAGUGGUAGGAGAGCGUUCUAAGGGCGUUGAAGGUCGAUCGUGAGGACGGCUGGAGCGCUUAGAAGUGAGAAUGCCGGUAUGAGUAGCGAAAGACAGGUGAGAAUCCUGUCCACCGUAUGACUAAGGUUUCCUGGGGAAGGCUCGUCCGCCCAGGGUUAGUCGGGACCUAAGCCGAGGCCGAUAGGCGUAGGCGAUGGACAACAGGUUGAUAUUCCU